rnacentral:tRNA from 1 species
GCCUGGGUGGCUCAGUCGGUUAAGCGUCUGACUUCAGCUCAGAUGGUGAUCUCAUGUUCGUGGGUUCGAGCCCCGUGUCCAGCU